AGGAUUAGAUACCCGGGUAGUCAGGGUGUAAACGCUGCGGUCUUGGUGUCGGCAGUCCUACGAGGGCAGCCGGUGCCGGAGAGAAGUUGUUAAGACCGCUGCCUGGGGAGUACGGCCGCAAGGUUGAAACUUAAAGGAAUUGGCGGGGGAGCACCGCAACGGGAGGAGCGUGCGGUUUAAUUGGAUUCAACGCCGGAAAGCUCACCGGAGUCGACCAUUUGAUGUGGGCCAGUCUGAUGGGCUUGCCUGAAUUAUGGAGAGGUGGUGCAUGGCCGCCGUCAGUUCGUACCGUAAGGCGUUCUGUUAAGUCAGAUAACGAACGAGACCCUUAUCCUCAAUUGCCACGGCGAUCUCCGGAUCGUCAGCACAUUGGGGAGACCGCUGGCGCUAAGUCAGAGGAAGGAUAGGGCAACGGUAGGUCAGUAUGCCCCGAAUGCUCCGGGCUACACGCGCGCUACAAAGGACGGGACAAUGGGUAUCUACCCCGAGAGGGGACGGCAAUCCCGAAACCCGUUCGUAGUUCGGAUCGAGGACUGAAACUCGUCCUCGUGAAGCUGGAUUCCGUAGUAAUCGCGUCUCAAAAUGGCGCGGUGAAUAUGCCCCUGCUCCUUGCACACACCGCCCGUCAAACCAUCUGAGUAGGGUCCAAGUGAGGGCACCUCAUCCUGGGGCGUUCAAACUUGGGCUCUGCAAGGAGGGUUAAGUCGUAACAAG
rnacentral:rRNA from 1 species